rnacentral:rRNA from 1 species
GGGGAAUCUUGCGCAAUGCGCGAAAGCGUGACGCAGCAACGCCGCGUGCGGGAAGACGGCCUUCGGGUUGUAAACCGCUUUCAGUUGGGACGAAGCUUCGCCGGUGAAUAGCCGGCCGGAGUGACGGUACCUUCACAAGAAGCCCCGGCUAACUACGUGCCAGCAGCCGCGGUAAUACGUAGGGGGCAAGCGUUGUCCGGAAUCAUUGGGCGUAAAGCGCGUGUAGGCGGCUUCGUCAGUCCGUUGUGAAAGUCCAGGGCUCAACCCUGGAAUGCCGAUGGAUACUGCGGAGCUCGAGUCCGGAAGAGGCAAGUGGAAUUCCUGGUGUAGCGGUGAAAUGCGCAGAUAUCAGGAGGAACACCAAUGGCGAAGGCAGCUUGCUGAGACGGUACUGACGCUGAGACGCGAAAGCGUGGGGAGCAAAC